rnacentral:misc_RNA from 1 species
AGUUAAUGUACGUUUCAAAUGAAUGGGCUAAAGAAGUGUUAGUUGAUGCUGACAACCUGCCAGAAGAGAGAAUUGAUGAGGUGUUGAGUAAGUAUCUUGAAGAUAUUAAAGAAAGUUCACCGGAAAGCAAAGGUUGGCCAGCUUAUCUAUCUGCCUAUAUACUUUCAAAAGCUGCUAUGAAUGCAUACACACGGAUCCUAGCCAAGAAGCUCCCAACUUUUCGCGUCAAUUGUGUCUGCCCUGGCUUUGUCAAAACAGAUAUAAACAACAACAAUGGAAUGUUGUCUGUUGAAGAAGGGGCUGCAAGUCCAGUGGGAUUAGCACUGUUGCCUAAUGAUG